AUGUGUGAGUAGUCUUCCCUUUGAUCUCAUCUUAUCUUCGUAACACUAAAAUCUCAUACUCAUCACUUUCAACAUGGCUAAUACUAGGGUUUUUUUCUCCGAUCUGGGUCGGAUGUGAAUUCGACCAUGAUGCAAGCGACCAUGAUAUAUCUCUAAUCAUAAGUUUUUGCUAUCUCCACAUCUCUCUGCUACUCAUCUCUCUGCUAUCUCCACAACUUUCCUAAAGCUUUAGAGAGAU